CCCGCUGAACUUAAGCAUAUCAAUAAGCGGAGGAAAAGAAACUAACAAGGAUUCCCCUAGUAACUGCGAGUGAAGAGGGAAAAGCUCAAAUUUAAAAUCUGGCAGUCUUUGAUUGUCCGAGUUGUAAUUUAGAGAAGCGUCUUCCGCGCUGGGCCGUGCACAAGUCUCCUGGAAUGGAGCGUCACAGAGGGUGAGAAUCCCGUCUUUGGCAUGGACACACCAGGGCUUUUGUGAUGCGCUCUCGAAGAGUCGAGUUGUUUGGGAAUGCAGCUCAAAAUGGGUGGUGAACUCCAUCUAAAGCUAAAUAUUGGCGAGAGACCGAUAGCGAACAAGUACCGUGAGGGAAAGAUGAAAAGCACUUUGGAAAGAGAGUGAAACAGUACGUGAAAUUGUUGAAAGGGAAACGCUUGAAGUCAGUCGCGUCGACCGAGACUCAGCCUUGCCUCGGCUUGGUGUACUUCUCGGCUGACGGGUCAGCAUCAAUUUUGCCCCUUGGAUAAUGAUGAGGGAAAUGUGACACCUUUAUGGUGUGUUAUAGUCUCUUGUCGCAUGCAAGGGUCGGGAUUGAGGAACUCAGCACGCACCUUUGGGUGUCGGGGCUUUGCCCACGAUACGUGCUUAGGAUGUUGGCGUAAUGGCUUUAAACGACCCGUCUUGAAACACGG
rnacentral:rRNA from 1 species